GACACGACUCUCGGCAAUGGAUAUCUCGGCUCUCGCAUCGAUGAAGAGCGCAGCGAAAUGCGAUACAUGGUGCGAAUUGCAGAAUCCCGCGAAC
rnacentral:rRNA from 3 species